AGUCCGAACAGGCGCCCAGUUGCUGGACGUAGACCCGAACCAAGUGAUCUAUCCAUGGCCAGGAUGAAGGUGCGGUAACACGCACUGGAGGUCCGAACCCACUAAUGUUGAAAAUUAGGGGAUGAGCUGUGGAUAGGGGUGAAAGGCUAAACAAACUUGGAAAUAGCUGGUCUCUCCGAAAACUAUUUAGGUAGUGCCUCAAGUAUCACCGACGGGGGUAAAGCACUGUUAUGGCUAGGGGGUCAUCGCGACUUACCAAACCAUUGCAAACUCAGAAUACCGUCGAGUGCGAGCUUGGGAGACAGACAUCGGGUGCUAACGUCCGGUGUCGAGAGGGAAACAACCCCAGACCGCCGAUUAAGGUCCCCAAGCCAUAGUUAAGUGGAAAACGAGGUGGGAAGGCUUAGACAGCCAGGAGGUUGGCUUAGAAGCAGCCAUCCUUUAAAGAAAGCGUAAUAGCUCACUGGUCGAGUCGUCCUGCGCGGAAGAUGUAACGGGG
rnacentral:rRNA from 1 species